GCGAGCGAAAGAAGACGAAAACAAAAACAGCCCAGGCAAGCAAACGGCGGCGGUGGCGGUGACGACGACCAAGAAAAAUGCUAAAUAAAUAUUGGCGAACAGCAGAGGAGUUGGAAAGUACUUCCCAAAGCAAGCAAGCAAGCAGUCAACCCAGCUAGCUAGCUGGCAAGCGAAGGCAUAGAAAGGAAGAAAAUUGAUUGCGCGCACACGUUGCCGUCCAUCUACGAGCAAAAGAAAACGGAAAAUAACCCAGAGAACUUGCACAAAGUCUAAACCAAUAUCGCCAUCAAAGCGGCAGGGGAAGGACAAUUACAGGAACUGGGAGGGAUGUGUUUGUAUUCCACUCCCUCUUCCCCUCCCUCCCUCCUUCGCUCCUUGUAUAUAUACACAAUCGUAUGUGCCAGGCCAUGCCGUGGCUAGGCAAUAGGUAGAGGUAGUCAUCCUAGUUGUUGCUGUUGAAAAUAAAAGAAAUUUGUUGGAAAAUAAAAUAAAUUGCACAAUAAAGAAAAAUCAAUGUUGUAUGAGCGAGCGAGUGAGCGAGCGUCAGCAGCAGCAACAACAAUAGCUACAACUAGAGAAAAAAUAAGACCUGUACAACUAACUGGCCAACAGAGCAAAGAGUUAAACCAGAGACGACGCUGUAAUGGGGGCUUUUUAAAGAGUUAAAGUCAUAGGUCAUGGAAAUUUGAUCUUACGUUUGAAAAAAAAAAACGGAAUUUCAAGUUGGCAGAAAAUUCUUCAAAACUCCAACUCUUCAAUAUAUCCUUGUCCACUCCACUCUGUGUAGGAAUUGUGCAACGCUUGUGGUAGAGCCAGAACGGCAACCAUGGAUGGCAUAGUGUCAGUCAAUCUAAAACGUCAGCCGAAGGCUAAAGCAACGGCAACGACAACGUCUAGUAGCAGCAUUUAAAUUAGAAUUUUAUGCAAAUAGGACAAUAUUUAUAUCAUCAAGUAUAUGACAGCACUACUAAGAUAUUUAAAUAUAUUGCAUAUUUAUGCCGAUAUGCAGGCACACAUACACAAACAAUCAACACAAGAAAUGCCAACAACAAUAACAGCAAACGGUAGAAAAUCAAGGUAGCCGGUAAAAUAAGUGUUUAGAGAUAUUAACAGAGGAAGCCAUUUGAAUUGGAAAUUAUGUUUCCCAGAGAAGGUCCUUUAAAUAAUUUUAUAGUAGUAGCUCCCAUAUAUAACUUCAACGGAUUUCGGGUUAAUUGUGCACCAUAUGGCUUAUAUCAAUCCAAACGACCUGAAUUAUGGCACAUCCGAUCGAAUUUCAGAGUGCUGAAAAUCGUUCCAGAUACGGCUAUAACUCUCAUAUCUAUGUUUCAUCCGAUUUUGUGUUUAAGUCCCUCACAUGCGUAUUAUGCACUCCACAAGAAAAUAUUUGGUACCAGAUAUCAGAUGUAGCCCAGAAAUACAUCUGUUUAAUAGUAUC